CGCCGGGCAGCUCAACUGGUAGGAGCGUCCGCCUGAAAAGCGGAAGGCGCCGGUUCGACCCCGGCCCCAGCCAC
rnacentral:tRNA from 1 species